rnacentral:rRNA from 1 species
GGUACGUACGGGACCGCAGGCGCGGGAAGACGUAGGGGGUUAGCGGUGUCCGGAAACAUUGGGCGUAAAGCGGGGGGAGUGGGCCCGAGAAGUCCGGUGGAAAAGUCCAGGGGUCAACCCUGGAAGGCCGGGGGAUACUGUCGGGCUAGAGUCCGGAAGAGGCGAGUGGAAUUCCUGGUGUAGCGGUGGAAUGCGCAGAUAUCAGGAGGAACACCGAUAGCGAAGGCAGCUCGCUGGGACGGUACUGACGCUGAGGUGCGAAAGCGUGGGGAGCGAACAGGAUUAGAUACCCCUGUAGUC